CGGGGUGCAGCAGGCGCGAAAACUUUACAAUGCCGGCAACGGCGAUAAGGGAACCUCGAGUGCCAGGUUACAAAUCUGGCUGUCGUGAUGCCUAAAAAGCAUUGCAUAGCAAGGGCCGGGCAAGACCGGUGCCAGCCGCCGCGGUAACACCGGCGGCUCGAGUGGUAACCGUUAUUAUUGGGUCUAAAGGGUCUGUAGCCGGCCGGAUAAGUCUCUUGGGAAAUCUGGCAGCUUAACUGUCAGGCUUUCAGGAGAUACUGUCUGGCUCGAGGCCGGGAGAGGUGAGAGGUACUUCAGGGGUAGGGGUGAAAUCUUGUAAUCCUUGAAGGACCACCAGUGGCGAAGGCGUCUCACCAGAACGGACCUGACGGCAAGGGACGAAAGCUAGGGGCACGAACCGGAUUAGAUACCCGGGUAGUCCUAGCCGUAAACGAUACUCGCUAGGUGUCGGCCACGGUGCGACCGUGGUCGGUGCCGUAGGGAAGCCGUGAAGCGAGCCACCUGGGAAGUACGGCCGCAAGGCUGAAACUUAAAGGAAUUGGCGGGGGAG
rnacentral:rRNA from 1 species